GACGGAGGGUGCUAGCGUUGUUCGGAAUCACUGGGCGUAAAGGGCGCGUAGGCGGCCUAAGCAGUCGGAUGUGAAAGCCCGGGGCUCAACCUCGGAGGUGCAUCCGAUACUCUUGGGCUGGAGGCCGGAAGAGGAGGGUGGAAUACCCAGUGUAGAGGUGAAAUUCGUAGAUAUUGGGUGGAACACCGGUGGCGAAAGCGGCUCUCUGGUCCGGUCCUGACGCUGAGGCGCGAAAGCGUGGGGAGCAAACAGG
rnacentral:misc_RNA from 1 species